rnacentral:lncRNA from 1 species
AAGGUUCUUGGAGGCCAAGCUUGAGACCGCUUGAGUGGAGCAACCUGUUAAGUUUUGGUCCUUACCCUGAGCCCCAGGAGUACCCAGGCCAAGGACUUCUCCACUUUUAGAUUCUUAUUCUGAGUUAUCUACUGACCAAUUGAGGACAGAGAGCAGAAAAGAGAGAAGAUGCCUGAGAGUCCCCUUGUACUGAGAAGCUUAAAGAGAUGGGAAUGAUGAAGUCUCACGCUCUGAGGCAGUUGAGCCACCACUGAGCCACACCCCCAGGUACCAAGAUUCCUUCCAGAUACUGUACCCUGGGCAGGCUGGGAUAAGCCUCGUUGACCUGGUGUGGGGCAUCUCUGUUCCAAUGCUUGCCUCCCAUGUGCCAAGCCCCGAGUUCAAUCCGAGCGACUACAGAACAAAGCUGAAGUAGGACCUGGAGCCGGUAGUGUGGCUCACUUGGAAGAAUGCUUGCCCAGCGCCUCGUAAACCAGGCCCACACCUGUGGUCCCAGCACCUGGGAGAUGGAGAUGAGAUCAAGGUCAUUUUCAGCUACAGAUGAUUUUGAGUCCUGAUCCAGCAUGGGCUACCUGAGCUUCUGUGUCAAAGAGAAACAAAGAAACAAAAACUGAGGGCUCUCUUCACUCCUGGCCCCAGUGCUGGUGCUGGCUGAAGGUUCCAAGCGUCCCCACAUCUGUGUCCUCAUGGCACCUACCUGGCUCUGUGAGAUUCAAGCAUUUUUGCCAUUCAGAUGGGAAAGCAGGCACUGAGACAGAAAUGGUUUGGGGUGUCGCCCUCCCUCUAGCAGGUGGUGGAGUAGGGGGUGGGGCUCUUGACUCCCAUGACCUGCUGAGUCUUUGUUUCUGGUCUCUCCUCUCCCCAGUGAAUUUCUCAAACCUGCCAUUCUGCCUCCAGGAGAAUGUAAAAGUGUGGGUCUCACUGGUGACCUCAGAGGACCUGAGAAGGGGGAAGAGAAAGGGAGACAUAAACAGGGCUGUGAAGAGCAGGGCUUUUUCCAGACCUGACCCAGGGUGGGUCUUGUGCCUGCUGUGGUGGCUCUUGUACCCUCUGCUUAGCUUAUUUGGUGAAGGAUCAAUGCAUGUGACCAAACUCUCCAGCCUGUCCCCAUCCUCCUGACAAGUGACUCUUGGCCCCGGGGAAGCUGAACCAAAGCCAGCACUCCGAGACCCUCCCCCGUGCGUGUUGGGAACGGCUUCUUCCUCCCUGAGUGGAGCUUAAGAGGAAUGCUUAUUUUCCCACUGACUCUUCCGAAAGCCACCAAUUCCCACUCCGUGAAGGAAACUGAGGCCCAGCGAGGAAAAAGAACUUGUUUGGGGCCACACAGUGUGGCUCUGCAGGGACCCCAGGCAUCCUGAGUCUCAGGCCACCCACAGCACUUCCCUUUCUGGGCAGCCUGCUGCUCAGGUCCCAGAGCCCCAGAACUGACUCAUGCAGAGGUCCUCUCUCUUGCCCAGCGUUUAGAAGACAGCUGUCCUGGCUGAUGUGCUGCCGAGCAUUCUGAAGGUCCCCGAGAUGGCCUGCUGAUGAGUCAGGAGCUGUAAGUCACAGGAACUGAACCACGAUGGCUUAAACUGGAAGCGCAGAGCCUUGCAGGGGCGGGCAGAGCUGGGCAGCCUCUCCAGGAGCCCUCUGGCUUCUCUAGCACAUGACUCUUAUUCUCAGCACAAAGUGGCUGCUUCACCUCUGCCAGGCAGAAAAAAU